rnacentral:rRNA from 1 species
UACAGAGGUCUCAAGCGUUGUUCGGAAUUACUGGGCGUAAAGGGUGCGCAGGCCGCGCGGGCAGUCAAAUGUGUAAUCCAGGGGCUCAACCCCUGAACUGCGCUUGAUACUUCCGCGCUCGAGCUUUGGAGAGGAGUCUGGAAUUCUCGGUGUAGCAGUGAAGUGCGUGGAUAUCGAGAAGAACACUUAGGGCGUAGGCAAGACUCUGGACAAAUGCUGACGCUCAUGCACGAAGGCUAGGGUAGCGAACGGG